rnacentral:rRNA from 1 species
UACGUAGGGGGCAAGCGUUGUCCGGAUUUAUUGGGCGUAAAGAGCGUGUAGGCGGUUUGGUAGGUCCGCUGUGAAAACUCGAGGCUCAACCUCGAGACGCCGGUGGAAACCAUCAGACUAGAGUCCGGAAUAGGAGAGUGGAAUUCCUGGUGUAGCGGUGAAAUGCGCAGAUAUCAGGAAGAACACCCGUGGCUAAGGCGGCUCUCUAGUACGGUACUGACGCUGAGACGCGAAAGCGUGGGGAGCGAACAGG